CACAAUGAAAGGGUAGACUAAUUUCAACAAGCCUUGUCAUAUCAUAUCAUAUCAUAUCAUAUCAUAUCAUAAUAAACAUAAUUGAUAUUUCAGAAUGUAAAAAAUGGGCGCAGACUUCAAAACUCAGUAUCUUACAAGUCGAUAGCAAAAGCACAGGACAAACAUUGUUGUCGCACAAAACGUCUCCAGGGUGGCAAAAUUGGCCUUUUCAAAAGUGACAUCAUGUCUUGUAGAGAAGCAUUCUGGAAAUUGGAUGAAAAUAAGCAGGGAAACUAUAUUUUGACUUUUUUUACUCACGAAUGCCAUCAAGCCCUCUGGACAUCAAAAUUUGAUCUUUCUUGGAAUGCUUGGAUUGAAAGUCA